ACUGAGACACGGCCCAGACUCCUACGGGAGGCAGCAGUGGGGAAUAUUGCACAAUGGGCGCAAGCCUGAUGCAGCGACGCCGCGUGCGGGAUGACGGCCUUCGGGUUGUAAACCGCUUUUGACAGGGACGAAGCGCAAGUGACUGUACCUGUAGAAUAAGGACCGGCCAACUACGUGCCAGCAGCCGCGGUAAUACGUAGGGUCCGAGCGUUGUCCGGAAUUACUGGGCGUAAAGAGCUUGUAGGCGGUUCGUCGCGUCGUUUGUGAAAACUUGGGGCUCAACCUUAAGCUUGCAGGCGAUACGGGCGGACUAGAGUACUUCAGGGGAGACUGGAAUUCCUGGUGUAGCGGUGAAAUGCGCAGAUAUCAGGAGGAACACCGGUGGCGAAGGCGGGUCUCUGGGAAGUAACUGACGCUGAGAAGCGAAAGCAUGGGUAGCAAACAGGAUUAGAUACCCUGGUAGUCCAUGCCGUAAACGGUGGGUACUAGGUGUGGGGCUCCUUCCACGGACUCCGUGCCGUAGCUAACGCAUUAAGUACCCCGCCUGGGGAGUACGGCCGCAAGGCUAAAACUCAAAGAAAUUGACGGGGGCCCGCACAAGCGGCGGAGCAUGUGGAUUAAUUCGAUGCAACGCGAAGAACCUUACCUGGGUUUGACAUACACCGGAAACCUGCAGAGAUGUAGGCCCCCUUGUGGUCGGUGUACAGGUGGUGCAUGGCUGUCGUCAGCUCGUGUCGUGAGAUGUUGGGUUAAGUCCCGCAACGAGCGCAACCCUUAUCUUAUGUUGCCAGCGCGUAAUGGCGGGGACUCGUGAGAGACUGCCGGGGUCAACUCGGAGGAAGGUGGGGACGACGUCAAGUCAUCAUGCCCCUUAUGUCCAGGGCUUCACACAUGCUACAAUGGCCGGUACAGAGGGCUGCGAUACCGCGAGGUGGAGCGAAUCCCUUAAAGCCGGUCUCAGUUCGGAUCGGGGUCUGCAACUCGACCCCGUGAAGUUGGAGUCGCUAGUAAUCGCAGAUCAGCAACGCUGCGGUGAAUACGUUCCCGGGCCUUGUACACACCGCCCGUCACGUCAUGAAAGUCGGUAACACCCG
rnacentral:rRNA from 1 species